rnacentral:lncRNA from 1 species
UAGUAACCCACGCUAUCGUAUCCCCGCUCAAGCAGAUAAUACCCCAAAUCAUGCGAAAGUAAUGAAGUGUGCUUCACUACUAACUCCCGAUGUUACGUUGUCGGCCGCCAACGUAACCCUCGGCGAAGUUAGAAGCUAUACACUUCGAUUUAACUCCACUUUCUAGAGUUAUCAAAGAUACCCAAUCAAGAUACUUUCGCUUACAAGUCAAAUAGACCUCGUCUCUCACGAGCCUAUUUCCUAUAGUCCAACCGGCCUAAGGUUUGCUAGGUCCACUAAGACUCAACCCUAGGCUCUGAUACCAAACUAAUCUGUCACGUCCCGGGCCUAGCGGAAGCCCGCCCGGCGCGUGCCCAGACCCGCCAUAUGUCUAAAACAUAUAAGGCGUCUAAAACAAAACGAUAAAUAAAGCAGUAGAACAAAGGAAUCUAAUGAUAUCAGAGUAAAGUAAAUAACUAAGUUCUACACAGAGAGGUAAGUAUAAAACUGAAAUCCACUAAUAUAGCCAUAAAGUAGUACAAAGGAAAUCCCAAAUACAAAAACUAAACAUAAAGAGUAUCUAGGUGGUCUCUCUAUACAUGAUACUCAAAAUCUCUCUCUCUCUAAUACAAUAAAAGAAAGAGUAAACCAUCUAAGCUCAAAAGUAGCUCCCCGC